rnacentral:rRNA from 1 species
AUUGAACGCUAGCGGGAUGCUUUACACAUGCAAGUCGAACGGAGUGGCGGACGGGUGAGUAAUAUAUCGGAACGUGCCCAGUUGCGGGGGAUAACUACUCUAAAGAGGGGCUAAUACCGCAUACUAUUUGAGCGGCCGAUAUCGGAUUAGCUAGUUGGUGGGGUAAAGGCUCACCAAGGCAACGAUCCGUAGCUGGUGUGAGAGGACUACAAGCCACACUGGGACUGAGACACGGCCCAGACUCCUACGGUAGGGAGCAGUGGGGAAGUUUGGACAAUGGGAGAAACCCUGAUCCAGCCAUCCCGCGUGUAUGAUGAAGGCCUUCGUGUUGUAAAGUACUUUUGGCAGAGGAGCGGUAUCUGCAGAAUAAGCACCGGCUAACUACGUGCCAGCAGCCGCGGUAAUAC